AUUGAACGCUGGCGGCAGGCCUAACACAUGCAAGUCGAACGAGUGGAGGACGGGUGAGUAAUGUAUGGGAAACUGCCUGAUGGAGGGGGAUAACUACUGGAAACGGUAGCAAAUACCGCCUACCAUCGGAUGUGUCCAGAUGGGAUUAGCGAGUAGGUGGGGUAAAGGCUCAACUAGGCGACGAUCCCUAGCUGGUCUGAGAGGAUGACCCGCCACACUGGGACUGAGACAAGGGCCAGACUCCUACGGGAGGCAGCAGUGGGGAAUAUUGCGCAAUGGGCGCAAGUCUGAUCCAGCCACGCCGCGUGUAUGAAGAAGGCUUUCGGGUUGUAAAGUUCUUUCUGUGGAGAAGCGGUAUCUAACGAAGAAGCAACGGCUAACUACGUGCCAGCAGCCGCGGUAAUUC
rnacentral:rRNA from 1 species